rnacentral:lncRNA from 1 species
UGCCAGGAUCCCAUUGUACUUAACUGAAUUUUAUAACGCUGAUCGAUAUCUUGGUAAAAUAUUCAUUUUUAAACUAGCGGGCAGUGAAAUCUUUGCUUUGUGUGCUAAAGUCAACAGUCGCUCGGUUUGAGCUCAAAUAAAUGCAGGGAUGCCUCGGCUCGGCGCAGUCGGACGCCUCCCUCCGCGCAUUGGACGCUUUGCCACCCGCCCGCCUUCCAGCCACUGCAGGUAGGGAGCGCACCCACUCGGGGACCGCGCCCGGGCUCCCGGCAACAGCGUCUACCCCCAACUCAGGUCCGUACACCGCCCUUUUCCUCCCCUGCCUCAGCUACUCCCUCUCCCUUCCUGGAGCUCUGGAUAACUGGAUGCCUGGACGCGGGUUGAGAGUUGUAGCAGGGAAUCUCAGUCAAUGAAGACCCAGGAGGUUGGGAGGUGGCCUUUUUUACUGGGCGUUUCGAGAGUGUCAGGCAUAAAAGGAUGAGGGGUCCUAGAGUCAGAAACUCAGACUUAGUCUAGGCUUUGAGCAGCUAAGUUUGGUGGGGCCCCAAGGCAAUGAUAACCUAGGACCAGUCCCUACAGCAUCUGUAGCCCCUCGGGGCUAGGGAUUCGAUCCGAGCGCUGCCUUUCCCAAGGACAGUGGCUGGGAGGAGGGGUUCAGAGUCUAGGGUAGGGGUCAACAGGAAACGAUGUGCGUGGUGUCAGCGACAAUUCCUGAGAGACACAGGCCCGAGCAUGGUGGCCUCCCCCACCCCCAAGGCCCACAAUAGUUUGAGUCCAGUCUCAGUCCUUUCCCGGAUCCAGUCAGGCCAAGAUGACAGUGGGGGUCGGCACCAAGCUGGAGCAGGGGAAGGAGCGGUAAAGCCUUUCAAAAAACAAGUAGUGUUAGCUUUCUCCGUAGAAAGUGGCCAAUGAUGGCCUUUGCGCACUGGAGCGCUUGGCCGUAGGCAGGUUGAGGUAACCUUCAGGGUUAUAAACUGCGCCCAGGACUGAAAAUCAGAAAUCGGCUGCGGAGUCAUUCAUCGCCCCAUUCUUAUUGCAACUCAGUUGCCUAUUUUCUUAUGGAGCCUGGGUUCGCUUCUGGCCGGUCUGGAGGGUGCCCCAGCUUACUGGACGUGCGCGCUCAGGUGCAGAACGUCCGAGCAGAAUCAAGCCGGUCUUUCAGCCGCUUGCAAGCGGGUGGUGACUUCGGGAAAUCAGUAGUUGCUCAGAGGCUGUUGAAAAGGCAGGACGCUCGGCUUUCGAAGGCAGGAUUCAGAAAAGAUGUCUUUCCCCUUAGGUUUGUCCCCUCCCACCAUUCUUUCUCCAAUCUACAUUCUCCCUAUGGUCUUUCCUUUAAACGUCUGGGUGUCAGGCGUCCUGAGAUGUCCGUGCUCUGCUGGGUUUUACUAGGUAUUUCACUAAACAGUGUGAGACGCGCUAUGUAACCGGCCCACGGAAAAUGCCUGCCACCCCCAACUGGGAAGCUUUGCUGUCUGAGCCCCAGUUGCCAAUCCAAGUGGGCAGAAAUCAGUCUCACUGAUCCGCAGGAUCAGUGUUAUAUGGGCACCUCCAUUGUAUAGGGACUCUGGAUCCUCCAUUUCCCUCCUUUCCUGGCGCCAGGGGCUGCUCGCCUUGUUCACCGUACCAGAGGCCGGCUGGGGAAGCGCCUGCCGGCCACCGGACCGUGCUCUGAUUCGCGUGGCUGGUUAUCUUUCCUGAACAAGAUGGAACGCCUGCAGGACACAUGGCAAGGCUAAUCGUUUUUAAAUAAUUAAUGCCUCCCCGUUCCGCUGGUAAUGCAAGGCCUUGAAUCCGUCAAUUACUUGUCAUUAAACGAGUGUCGCCCCACGGCCUUCCCUCGGGCCUUUGAUGGGCGCCCCGUCACCUAGCCCAGCCCACUCCACUGAGGAAUUAAAAGGUGUCCGGCCUUUGAGAGCUGGGUGCGGAGAAGCCGCGGCCCUUAAUUCAGUGCGGGGGUUUUGAAAGAAAGACCCUCGCUGAAGAGAUGUAAUCUUCCAAAUGACCAAUUUAAACGCCUGAUCUUUAUCACCCGCCUUCUCCCUGUUUCAUAAAGAGAAGCCGGUUCUCAGUGCUUUGGGGGCCUUUUAAUGUUGGGGCGGGCGGGGUGGUGGGAGAUAAGGCUUAAUAGGGCAUAAUGGGGAGGAGUUUGCCAGAUGAGGUACCUAGAGGUAGCUGGGGCAAGGAGUUUUCUUGGGAGCAGUGUAUCCUUCUAAAUAUCCGGGUGUCAGGGAGUGCUUCGGGUGGAGAAGGGUAGCUGAGAGCAGGUCUGGAAUGUGUUCAUUCAUGAGCAUUCCCAAAACUCAACAGAGCCUUUUCUGACUGAAUCUUUACCCAGCCAGAGACAGCAAAAAAGAAGAUGGUAUUCCUGUCCUCCCCCUGUGGCUCCCCACCCCUGCCCCAGCCGCUGUGAAUUUGGAGCUACCGAACAGCUGGUGCUGGCCAAGAGCCACAAACUUGUGAGCAUAAGUCCUGCCUCACAGAAUAGACACCCCUCCCCCUAAACACCCUAGUAUUGCUAGUCCCGUUUUUUUUUUUUUUUUCUGUCCCUGAUGUGGCAAAAGAAGAACAAGGUUUCAGAUCUGAAUUAUUUUUGCUGAAAUAGGACAGCAUGGACACCAGCCCUGGCAGCAAUUCCAUAGCAACCCAGGCCAGCCAAGGAUUGGAGAGUGGGGAAAAAAAAAAAAAAAGAACUUUUCAAAAACAAGGAAAAUAGACACCCCCCCCCCAAAGUUUGUAACUCGAUUUCAUUAUACUUAUUCCUGCUUCCUUCCUGGGUUCAAAUAUUCAUUUUACCAUAAACAGAAAUGGAAGGUUCUCUGGACCUGUUUGCAAACUAUGUACUGUAUCUUCAACCCUCCUUGUCGGCAAAGAUAUAUCGCUUCCUCUAAGAUUUAUAGCUGACUUCAGAAUAUAAAUUUCUUAUAACUUCUUAUCCUUAGGACAGGUGUUCCCCUGAAAAGAGGGGGAAAAUAGAAUAGACAGGAAAUAGACAGGAGGAAAAGAUAAUGAGGAUCAAGGGAAAAACUUUUUAAAAAUGGAGAAAGGCUGAGGGGCUGUGUUCCUUGCCUGUCCCCAUAGGUCCUGGCUUGCUCUUCAGGUCUUCAACUCCAUACACACUGCCUUUCUAGGGCAGGUCACCCCCAUGUUUUUUUUUUUUUAAUUAUUAUUUUUUUUAUGAGUAAGCACCUCCAGAGACAAAAAUAGCAGGGAAUAGAUGUGUCCCCAAAGGAGCUCAGCAGGGGCUUCAGCUCCUGGUGGGUCUCUUCUCCCUUUAACAAAACUCCCAGGGAGUGCCCCUACCCUCGUCACUCCAGGGAUUGCCUCAGAAUCCUAAAUCCUGGGGCAUCUUCCCCAUUCUGUUAGCUGCCUUCCUGCCCACUCUCUUAUCCCUUUUUUUCCUUUCUUCUUUAAAACAAUCAUGUGUGUCCCCCCUUGCUCCCUCCUCCCAUUGUAUUUGUUGAUGACCUAACACGCUCACACCAAAAGCCACACACAGAAAACCAACAACGUGGGAUGGGAGGAGAGACCAAUUAUGACUGAGGCUAACAAGCGGGGAACACCCAAGUUGAGGCCGGCUGUCUCCUGGGAGACUGAUGGAGGCUUAUUUUACAAGCUGUAAUUCCGUCGUGGUCCCUAUUGCUAGACUAGAGGUGAUGCCUCCUCACCCCUCCCCCAAUACCAAAACCUUGUACUAAAGUCUCUCACACAGACAGGUAGACAGGACAGGAUGUUUUCAAGCACAGUUUCGCAACUGUAUACCUCUCCCCAGCCACCCAUAAAUGACUUUUCUUCAGAGCUUGGAUCUUACUUCAGAUAACCACAUAAACUGGUCAGAUGUCAUUAACUCUCUCCUCUCUGUUUCUGUCUGUCUGUGAGUUUCACUAUUUGAUAACACAACUGAUAUCUGGGCAUGCUGAAAGAAGCAACAUAAAUUAAGUUAUAUUCAUUCAUGAAAAACUAAAUUUCUCAUGGUCCCUCUAGGGCAAGUCCCUGCUCAUGUUAAUUAGAAGUACCAAUAUUCUCAGCAAUGUCAGAUGAUGAUGGCAGCAAUACUUUAUUUGUUUCACUUAAACAUCAUUAACCAAGAAGGAAAUUUCAGCAUCACAAACAUAUUUGUGCAAUGGAAAAAUAUUGAUGUUUGGUGCACAUCAGAACUUUGAAAUAAGAUUUGCUGUGUUUUAGUUCUACUUGCUUUUCUCAUUCCAUUUCCACUUGCUUAAAUAAUUUCCCCCAUAGUUAAAUCAACUUUCCCUUUGUUUUAUUUAUUUGAAAACAAUAAAACACUGGUUUAAGAAUAAGCAAGAAUGUUUUUGAACCACAGUUGGUCAUACGCCAAGCAAAUCAAAGUAGAAUUGCAUGCAUGUGAAUUUUGACUUGUUAUUUCCCUAGAAAUAUGAUCUCAUUUCUUUAUGAUUUCUCUUUUACAAAGCAGACAUAAUUGUAUAAUUAGUUCUAUUGAGAAAUUCUUACUUAAAGGAAAGCAUAUAAUUCCUAAUUUGAAAUCAUGCAUGUUGAAAUACAUUACUUAAAAAUAUAAAACAUAAUCUUGACAAGUAUUUGGGGGAAAGACAGAAAGAAUGAAUGCAUGAGGUGGAUGCCUGUAGAAUGGGGCAGGAGGACAAAUGAUUAUAUGACAUAUUCUAUGAAGGAAUGAAGUGAAAUGUCUUCCGGGGGCAAGAUCUGGGUCAUAGAGAACUCUGUAGAGUGGUCAGAGGAAACUUAAGCAAAGAAAUCAGGAUGGCAGGGCUGGGGGUAUAGCUCAGUGGUAGAGUACUUGUCUAGAAUGCACAAUGUCCUGGGUUCUCAGCACUGUAGAGGGGAAAAUAUCAGGAUAUUAUCAUGGGUUGUCUCUGAUAACAACAACAACAACAAAAAAAUGCAAUUGUGUUCGUGUUUUCUGCUGGCUAUACCUUCUAAAACCUUUAUUAGUAUAAAAUAAAGAAAACCAUUUCACUAUAUAUUUUCCAUUUGCACUGCAAUUCUAAGCUACAUUUUGAACUGAGUAGUUCAUACAGUGGAAGAAGUUGUUACUGCAGCUAUAUGCCUUGCUGACUGAGAAAAACUACACUUUACCCAGAAAAGCCAGUCCAUUUUUUUUUUUUUUGGCAGAAAAUUUGUCUUUUGUUCUAUCAUUUUAGUGUUUCUUAUUGGCCCCCCAUACCCCAACAUAUUCCCUCAGCUCAUUCUUUAACACAACUCUAUUCAAUCCUACUAUCCUUAAGUGGAGUUCUUGUAGGUGUCAGGCACCAUGGGAGAUGUCUCAUGAACAUGAUCUCUAUAGUCUUCCCCAUACCUCAGUGGUAGAAGAAUUAUGUGUGAUGGGCCUGGGGCUGAGAGAAGUUAGGGAACUUGCUCCAAUUUCAGAGCUCGGUACUGAAGUCCAGUUUUACAGUUCUAUGUUCUUUCAGUUCCUCUUGUUUCAUAUAUGAUUUUGAGCAUAGUCAACUCCAAUUCCAAAGCAGUAGGAAGCCUGCCUUCACCAGAACUUCAGAAUUUGCAAAGUAAGCUGUGUUGGUAGAAGAGGAUGUGUGUUAGGGGAAGGCUGAAAAGAACAGGAAGAUCUCAAAAGAGUGAAAAUUGGAUACCCCUUUUGGAGGUUAAAAAAGACCUACCCUAGACCUGGUAAAGAUUAUAAUGGUAUGUCUGGGAUCAGUCUGAUGCUUAUUUUCUCUUGUAGUAACAGUCAGAAUUCUCAUGUGAUCAUGGUCCCUCAAAGCCAGCAAGAGGUUCAUUCAGACCUGGGCUGCACUUUCUUCCCUGUGGAAUCUCCAGGGCCAGCUGGCUAAUGCUGUGGAAAAGAGGAGACAGGGCGAGAAUCAGCAGCUAAAUGGUUCUUACAUUGUGAUUAGAAAGAGAAAAUGCCAGAGAAGGGGCGGGCGGGGGGGGGGGGAAUCAAGGCAAAGACCAUGGGCAAUUCACACAGCCAAAUUAUUUUGGAGAUUCAGCAUAUCAGUUUAAAUCUUUACUACGAGUAGGGAUCAGGAAUAUCCAAGAGACUCUUGCCUCUAACCUCCCCCUGACCUGCACCUGGAGGCAUGACAACACAGGUGACAACACAGCUGGAAUGUAUGCACCUCCCACAGCUGGUCUCCAAAAUGGCCUUGCCCAAGCUGCAACAACUGCAAGACCCCCAUCCUCCACAGCAUGCUUCCUCCAACAUAUAUACAAAUGCAGAUCAUGAUAAACAUCUGCUUCAGAGGUUUGUCUUGAGUAGAAUGUUGGGGAAGGUGGGCUGGCCUGCAUCCAUCCUGGAGGAGAAUGAGGCUCAGCACCUAAUAGGCCUGCUGUCAGAGAGAGGAGAGCAGAGUGCACACCAGUGGACUACAUAUGGGUAUGCAUGACAAUUAUGGCUGAACACCUGCUUGCCAAAGCCUGGGGACACCAGGUGGAACUGAGCAGUGGCCUUCCUCCUCCUGGAAAUAGCACUCAAUCUUGGUGCAGAGGUCUCCUUUUCUUUUCAGCCUACAGAGAGCUAAAUUACCUUGUCUGUCCAGAUUUAGUGGUGUGGAAUUUCCUGCAGACUUAGUAUCUUCCAUUGUGGCAUUUCAGAGGAGACUUAUACAACCAAAUUCUAAGAUCAGCUCAUGCACAGUGAUGUCCAGGGCAUGGGAAUGAUCAACUCUUGAAGAGAACAGAGUUCUAGAUUAAACUGUACUACCCACUCCAAAUUGCAUAACUGAAAUGUUAGACUAAGGUGGGGACAUGAGAUGACACAAGCUACCCACUUUUAGUAAGGGCAGUAAGCCUUCUAAAGACCGGGAAAGCAGAGAAUGCCAUUUUGAGGGUGGUUUGUGGGAGUGGGCAAGUGGGGGAAGGGUAUCCAAUCUAUAUUUUGUCCUUUCUCCAUUUUAAUUACCACCCCUCUCUCACCAGCAGAGUUUGCCUAUUAAAGGCCAAUCUCUCUUGAUUUCUUUGCUUUAAAAGGACAUUUCGAUUCACCCAGGCAGACAAUUAAAUCCCCCUCGAGCCUCUCCCUUCCCAGAGCUCCAGAACAAGAUGAGUCCCUAUCUCCUCACAGCAUCGAGCUGAGAGAAGAAGUUGAUCUCAGGUGCUCACCUGCAGUUAUCAGAAUGCCAGACUCAUUUAGGGAGCUCAACUCUGGACCCUGAGGCGAUCCCUUCAUUGAUUGUGGAAAGCGCUGUUUAGAUUUUGCCCCUGCUCAGUAAACAACUAAAAGUAACUGCGCGAUUUCUGCCUUGCAUUCAUCGAACACUCUCUCUCUCUCUCUCCCUCUCUCUCUCUCUCUCUCUUACACACACACACACACACACACACACACAGCUCCUAUUAAUCAUGAAGGAACAGUCAGAUCACAAUGCCUUUAUAAUAUGCUUAGCUAAUCCCCCCACCCCCCAGCAGCUGGGUCUUCUGGGGGAUGCUAUGCCUUCCUCCGAAGAUUCACAGAUCCCCAGAAGGACACACCCUCCCAAAUCCCUAAGACUGUAGGGACCUGAGAAAACGGUGCCUCUUUGGAUCCCCUACUCUGCAACCUCUGAAAGUCCACACCUGCCUAAAAUACUUACCAGGGACUUCCUAGGGCCACUCCUCUCUCUCACCUCCCUUCCCCCACACGAAGUCCUCUAGAGUUCUCAGUUGGUCUUUGAUAAGCCUGUUGCAGCUCAGACUCAGAGAAACAAAGUUGGGGGUGGGGGCACAUUAACUGUCUACAGAGUUGGAGGCAGUUUCUGGAUAAAGCAACCAUGGUACUCCAGGGAGUGAAUUAAAAUGGCAAACUCACUCUCUGAUCAUCAAACUUAAGAUCCUUAAGGAGAUCGCAUUUACUCCUCAGUUACUAACAGAAAAAAAAGAAAAGAUGUUCACUACUGUCCACAAUUUGCAUUUCUCUGAAUAGACCAUUAGUUAUAUAAUUAAACCCCCUUCAUUUAGCUCUAUCUGUAGGAGUAAGUUCGCACCCACUCUGUCACCUAUUUGUAUAAAAUGGACAAAAAUUACCAGGCAUCCAAAACAAUAUAAAAGUUUAAUACAAAUCCUAAACGAUGACAAUUUAAAAAUCAAACAAUUAUUUUUAAAAAAUCAAGUGUUAAAAAGCAGUUUUCCGAAAGGUAUUAGAAGUCACCCUGGGACGAAUGUGUUUUUUAAAAAUUAGCUUUCUCUUUCAAAGUUGGUACUAUUUCAAAUGGAAUUCUUUUCUUGUUUGUCUACACUCCUUUCACAUGAUAAAAGAUAUUUUUCAAAUGAGAUCACCUCAACUUAAAAUACAGUUCUCCAUUACCAGCUGGUCUCAAGCAAAACCUUUUCUUUGAGGACUCACACAACUAAUUUCCCAAGAUGACAAAUUGUAGUAAUUUUUAUUUUUGAAAAAUCCCUAAUCUUGCCCAAGAUAAUUUUUAAAAACCUAAAAAUUAAAUUUUUAAUUUGUAAAUUCUUAGGAUUUAAGGUAGAAAUAAUUUCCACAGUAUUGAGUGUUCCAUAGUAGUGAAUAGUGAACAGGUAAAUACAUUUAUUUUUUAAAUGAAGGGCAGCUCUGGAAAUUUGAUUGCUACUUUUUGUAAACUACCCAUGGGCAAACUCCAAAAGUGUGUCAUUUCUUCUCUCCUUUCUUUUUCUAGUAUGAUUUUAUAAGUGGGUUAUGAAAUGCAUGUGAAAUUUCGGUAUAUUCACUAAGUGCCAAUUUUUCUCCACAUUUUGUGAAUAUCAACUAUUUCUUUGCAUGAUGUCUAGUUGAUGGCAUGUCCUGAGGAAUUGAAACCAUCAAGGAUUGGCAUACACUUGCAUUAGUUUUUAGGGUGCUUAUGCAGCAGGUCACAACAUCAUUGUUAUUGGCAGUGCUAUUUUGUUGAACCUCAAUUUUGAUAUGACUAAAAAUAAUUACCAAAUUUCAAUUAAUAUUUGCCUAUAAAUUUCAUGUUUGAUCAAAUAGCUCAAUGGUGCUAAAUAAACCUUUCCUUGCAAAUAUUUCUUUGUAUUUCUCAAUGUUUGUCCUUCUAUCCGUGAAAUCUACAUUCAAAACAUUUUGGUGAGGGGGGAGAGAAUUUAUUUAUAAUUUUUGGUUUGUUUAAAAUUAUUAUUAAUACAGUUUAGAAAAUAUUUCUGAGCAAAAAAAAAAUACAAUUGCUUCUAUGCCGAAUAGGAAUUUAUUUUCUUUCAUGCCUUCAUUUGUACAAUACACAAUAUUUGGGCUGGUAUCACACACACAUUGACUAGUUAAAUGUUAUAUAUAUAGUGUAUAUAUAUUUUUAAUAGUUUUCCCAGACAAAACCACGUUAAGUUUUGAAACACAAUUUAAGAGAAACUUGCAGAUAUUUUUAGGAAUCGGGUCUAACCUCCCAUGACACUCAGAAACAAGAGACAUUCUGUUUGGUUCAAGGGGCGAAAACCACGACCUAACGGUGUUUACAUGUGUAUUCAGCCAUGAAAUUGAAUAUUAUCAAAGUUGAAAAAUGCAAAUCAAAUUAAAACCGGAGAAAAUUGUCUUUGGAAUUACAGCGGCCUGGAGCCCCCAAGUGUUUGCUUAAAUUGAAGCAUUAUAAAAUGAAAAGCAACUAAAUUACCCCCCUCCCCGGUCUCUGACACCCCCCCCCCCAUGACAUUGUUCUUUAGUUCUGUCUAGGAAAUGUGUCUAUGUUUAGGAAUAAAUCACUCGCCGCCGUUUCCACAAAUAGCACUGGAAUAUAGUUUUUUUGUUUGUUUGUUUUUUCUGAAAAAAAAAAUAAAUGCUUCCCUUUACCUAAGUUUUAAAGUCAGGCCUGCUUCAGAAACGGAGCGGCACCCACUUUUCUUAUUCGGAAGUGAGCCCCUAAGCUGUUGGCUGACGGCCUUGCUUUAGCUACUCGCGAGUGGCCAGGGGAACCUUUGGAGCAGCGGGUGGCAGUCACCAAAGAGGAGCUCUCAGGGAGAACCGCCCUAGCCUCCACUCGGGCUCUGGGAGUACUUGAGCGGGGGGUGGGGGGUGAGGGGUGUGGGGGCUCGGACUCCCUGCAACCUGCUGGUGUCCAACCCCUCGAGGUGGUGCAUCCAGCACAAUUGGGGCACACCUGCGGGCCGGCUGGGCCGCGGGUUUUGCAAAGCCUCUAGCGGACCCUCGGAGCCUCUUGGCGCAUAGUUUGGGCUGUUUUGACUUCUGCGAGAACAGGCUGCCUUUACGCAAUCGUCACGGAACCCUCGCUGCUCUCAAUGGACACUUGUCUGACACAGAGUUUUUCGGGGCCUUGGUAGAGGAGAUCAAAAAGGGAAAAUGAGUUGACAUUUAGUUGAAAAUAUUAUUUAGAGGAAAAAAAAAUAUAUAUAUAUUUUAGAUCUUAAAACACGACGGUCACUCUUGCCAUUUCUCAAGUUCUAGAGCGCAGGGAACCGACCUGAGGUAGCCAGCCGCACUGGACUGGACCUAUCCCGUCGCGGUGGUAGUGGGUGAUGCCGACUUAAUUUUUCUCCUGCCCCUCCCCAUUUCGUUUCUGCCUCCGGAAAAANUGAGACAAUGCAUAGUGAUUUCUGCAGACAAUGGACAGUUCCUUUUAAAAUGACACUCUCAAUAAACACACCUAGGCUUAAUCUGAAAUAUCCUCUUAAAAAGAAUAUCUUCUUUGUGUUCAUCUGUGAAUCCAUAUCUCUAUCUUGCAGAAUUUCCAGAAAAGAAAGUGAAAUACAUUUGAACAUCUAACUAAAUUUUUAUGAAUCCCACAUUAUAUCAACAUAUUUGACACAACUNGGGUUUCUAGGAAAGCAGGCAUUGCAAUUCUUCAUUGCUAGAAUUCUCAUUCUUUAAAUAACUUGAAAAUGGAUGCUUUUCUUUUUUCAAAGUAUAAAAUAACUCCCCGUGUUAUUUCCUAUUGUCCUUUUUUUUUUCCCUAGUCCCAGAGGAUUAGCAAAGGGAGAGUAAUGGACUUCCAUCAAUGUCCUUUGGCAUUUCACAGAUCAGUCUGAUUUCUCUCAGCCAGUACACACUCACUAUAACCAUUUUUAAAGUGUGAAUGGAGUUAGGAAGUUGGAAAGCCAAACAUUUUUUUUUUUUCCCUGUGCUGGGCUGCAGAAACUUCUUUUGAACUUGUAAGUGGUGCUUGAGACAAUGCAUAGUGAUUUCUGCAGACAAUGGACAGUUCCUUUUAAAAUGACACUCUCAAUAAACACACCUAGGCUUAAUCUGAAAUAUCCUCUUAAAAAGAAUAUCUUCUUUGUGUUCAUCUGUGAAUCCAUAUCUCUAUCUUGCAGAAUUUCCAGAAAAGAAAGUGAAAUACAUUUGAACAUCUAACUAAAUUUUUAUGAAUCCCACAUUAUAUCAACAUAUUUGACACAACUGCAGCUAUGGCAGCCUGGAGUCAUGUACAAAACAGAAUGACUUCACUCCAUCGAUGGAAGUAUAUUAAAUGCUAUUUUAAAGGAGAUUGCUAGAAAAUCUUAUCUGAAUUACAUAAAAGAGCAUGUUUUAUAUUUCUUUAAAAGUAAUGUGUUUUCCUCCUUGGUAUUACAUGCUCGUGUGCUCUUUAGCAUUGCAGAAGAAAUUGAAUAAGUAUAUAUAUAUUUUUUUUGUUUAUUUGGUUUCUUUUGUUUUUGUAAUGCUAAACUUAGAGCUUUGUGAAUGAUAGGCAACUUGAUGUAGCAUGUAAGACUGAAAAAUUAUCUCUUACAGCACGUCUAUUAUAUUUGCAUUUUAUAGAAAAGCUAUCAAGUAAUUUUUUUCUUGGUGAUGGUAUGCUUUCAAAAUAAAAAUUUCAUUUUCCUUUAAAACUGGCACCACAGAUAAAUUACAAUUAUUAUUAUUAUUAUUAUUAUUUUCAUGUUUAAAAACAGCUCUUUUGAUCUAGAGACAUUUUAAGUACUGUGGAAAGUUUGUGGCAUCUUUAAUACAAAGUAAUGCUCCCUUCUGGCCCCAUUUCUAGAAUCAUGAUCUCCUGAAUGGGUAUCUGUGUUAAUAACUCAGAGGUUCAGGAGAGGGACUUUACCAAGAGAUCCUGAUAUAGGGCCAUAUUUCACCCAAUUUCCAUCCCUGCCUGCUAAUCUUCAAUACACACAAACCAUCUUUGGAAAGCAUUCCUGUUUGGCCUUACUACCCCUCCCACAGGGCAAAUAGGAACUUUUGGUUCUUCAUCUGUAAAAUGGGCAACUUAUUUCCAUCUGGCCUGUUGUGAAGGUGGUGGUGUUAAGAGAACCACAUUUCAUCACAGUUAUUUAUAUUUGAUAUUGGUGAAAAUCAAGAGAGCUGUGUACACUGUUUUAAAACCCUGUGCAUACAUGGGAAAGGAAGGAAGGCAUUAUUGAGGGGGAAAUAAUUUAGUUUAUGAUACCUAGGCAGAUAUAUUCAGGCCAGCCUGUACUUAUUCACAUAAAAUUUCUUCUGUUUUCCAGGUUAUAAUUGGCUAUAAUAGCUGAGAAUAGUUGUCUUAGUCCAUUACAUCAUUCCUGUCAAGGAGUCGAAUAUGAGCAUGUUUUUAUCCUCAUUUCAGAAUUGUUUUGUACUCUUUUUCUCUUCCUUUAAGUAAUAGGAUGUAUAUAUUUUUUAAAAUCUUAGAACUAGCAAAGUCAACAGCUUUCUACCUUGUAUUUAUACAAAUGUAGACACCUACAUAAAUCCAUGACUUCUGACUGUCCACCCCCUCCCCAUCCCCGGAAGUGAUAUCAAAAUAGCUCAACUAUGACAUGGAAAUUAAUAAUACUUUUUAAAGAAACUGAGUUUUGAGGAUAAGGAUGGGGAUGUAGCUUGUUGUUAGAGGACUUGCCUGGUAUACAUGAGGCCCUAGGGUUUGAUCCUCAGCACCUCAAAAAAGAAAAAAGAAAAAAAACAGAAGUGCAGUUUUUCCUGUUUAGUAAAUAUUUCUUUCAUAAGCAUAUAUUGUUUUGCAACCCUGUGUCAGCAUUCUGCUUAGGCCUGGGGUACUGACCCAGCCAAAGAAGAUGGUUAUGAGGUCACUUAGCAAUGACAAUUUCCAGUUUGAGUAAAUUUCACUAUGGAAAAGGAAAUACUCUGCUCUAGUAUGUUCUCUCUCCUCAUAAAAAUUGGGAGUGGGCACGAAACUCCUUAAAGAUUUUCUAUAUGUUGAACGAAGCUCAUGUGUUGUUCUAUUUUGAAUUAAUUAAUAAUUAAACCAUGGAUAAAGCAGACCUUGAGUUCAUAAAGCCCAAAUUCUUUCGGAAUAGGAGGCAUCAUUCCUGUAAUGAGAAUACAGGGACUUUUCAAAGAUUCCAUCCUGAGGUAGUUUCCUUUCCAAACAAAAUUCUCACAAUUGGCUCACUCUUCUUAAUGUGAAUUCUUAUGCAUUCUCUAGAUUUAUUUAUUCAUAGCUACUGAGACAGAAAGAGUAGGUAGAGGAAGGACAUUCGUACAUUUGGAUGCUUUCCUCAGAGCCCUUAGUUCAUGUAAACUGAGGAAUGCAUGACUUAUUCACAGAGAGGCAGUGGUCUAGUUCCAUAUGGGUGCUGUGUGCUUAUACAGAGCUCUCAGGGUAGGGAAAUAGGGCCCAUGAAAAUCAAGAGUUGCAUAACUGCACCAAAGCAACAGAACGAUACCCACCAGGAUUUGUCAAUUGAAAGAUCUUAAAAUGUAAAGAUGUUGAUUUGUCCUGCUGUCAUAAGGAAGUUGUGGCAAUUAAGUUGCCCACAUAGACAUUUAACCUCCCCUGAAGUUACUAAAUCUCAUGAUGAAUAAAUAAAGAUGCAUGAUGAAUUUUUAGAACUCUAUGGACUAAAGCUGAGUGACUGAUCUAAAACAUCAAUGUUUUUCAAUGACCAGAAAAUGUCCAUCAAAUCAGAGUGAUCAUUUGGAGUGAGAAGUGGCCUACUUUAGGUACCUUGUGGGCCUUUCUUUGCUGGCCUAUAAAACAUUGGAAAUUAAUUCCGGCUUCUCAAAAAUAUGACCAGUGACAAGAGUGGAAAACAGUCCUUUGGAGGGUAGGGAAGCUUUCCUCCAAAGAGCACUGAGCCCCACAGGGCACACCAAAAACUAGGUGACAUGGAACCUUGUGUUCAGAAGGGUCACACAGAUGGGAUGCUGUUGGCAAUGUUUUACAAAGGUGCAGAAUCAAAGUGGACCCAAGGCACAGCUACUGGGGAGAAUCUUACCUUUAUUAGUACCAUUUUAAUUACUGGGGUCAAGAAGAGCAUAAAGGAAUAAAACUCAACCUGUGAAAAGUUAAAAAAAAACCCAAAACUGUCAAUCCCAAAAUGCAUGGAAUCAUCUCUCAUUCCCUUUUGAAGGCUGUGUAUACUUUUCAAGCUGGGUAUUUACUGCAUGGGGGUUUCUAAUAUAAUGUGAUUUUUCAUUGUGCUUUGUCUCUUUAGAGAGGAUUCAGAAGGCCCUUGAAGUCCUAGGCCUUAAAUCCAUGUUAAUAGGGGGGAUCUUUUUUUUUUUUUAGUAGGUGGGGAGGUUUGGUUGGAAGAAACAUUGACCCUGGCUGCACUUUGGGUAAACUACAGCAGAAGACCUGAUACGGUCUGCAGGGUACUUAUUAACCACUGUUCAUUUGUGGGAUCAAUAUUUCCAGCAAAGGAGUCAACAUUCAAGAUACACCACAAUGUCUGGCUCUUUUCUUGACACAACAAUUUAUUUUAUAAAUGCAUCUGCCGGAGAAGAAAAGGGAGCACCAAGCACUGUGUCUUUUAUCUCGGGGAUAUGCAAAGCGCAUUUAUUUUCAGCUUUUAUCUCUGGAAUUGUAUGUUGAUCCCAUACAUAUAGAUUGAUUUUGUUCAGGUAGAUAAUGAAAAGUCAAGUGGAAAAUUACACAAUGGCACUCACGAUCCUGGUCUUAUAUCGGUAUAUAAAUUGGUUUAUUAUUUCAUUCUAUUAAAGAGGCUUUUUUUUUUUUGGUACUGGGAAAACUUCAAAAUGCAUCAUGUAGUCAGUCUCACUGAAUUUUCCUUUGGAGGAGGAGGUGGGGAGGGAACACAAUGGGGGCUGAUUUCUUCUGCUCUUUUUGCUAAUUACAUUGGCUAAGUGAUCUUCACAGAGGGUUGUCCUUGUGGCUUUUUGCUCUCCCUCUGCCCAUUUCAGGGUGGUGCCUGUGGUUUUCUGUAACUCUUGAACCUCUUUGGGUGGGAACAAAAACGUCCAUCAUGUAUAUCCUGUUACAUAGGUGUGUGUGUGUGUGUGUGUGUGUGUGUAUAUAUAUAUAUAUAUUUUUUUUUUCACCCCAGGCAAUUCUAAAUUCUGUCACGAUGCCUGAAAGAGGCAACCCCCUCCUGAGCACCAAGGGACCAGGGGUGAGAGGGUGGCAUCAGAUAAAGGCCACCAUCAAGGGACAGAUUGGAGCCAGAAUCUUGGAGGAAACGUUAUUAAUAAACAUCUUCUGGACGUUUGGUAGCCCGUGGAGCUUGCUCCAGCUUAAAGCAAUUAAUUCAGGACACUGACAUAAACUCUCCAGGUCUUUGACAGCUUGGAGCCGAAAUAAAAAUGCUAGUUCUCCGGGGAAGAGAGGAGGAUGGCUAGCUCUUUUCUGGACUGUUUGCUUAUAGGCCCAGCGAGCAACCUUCCUUGCAGAAUGAAAUGCAAGGGCACAAACAAUGUACCAGGGAGAGAAUAGAAGAUGAGAAUGAACAGUUUGAACUAUUUGCUCAGCAGAAGGGCACCACAAUGCUGGGGUAGUGGUUUUCCCAUGCAUCCACUGUCCCUUCUUUGGGUUCUUUUGUUGUCCCUGUCUCCUUUGGUUAGAUAAGAGCACAGCUGCAGCAUUGCAGCUAAGUAAGGCUGCACUUAUCCCCUUAAAUCUCGGGGUGCCUGUACUGUACCAGGUUGCACUCAACUCUCUUUUAUUUUACCAGGGGGGUGGUGAGGGAGAGAAUGGAGAACUGAGGGGGAGGGAGACACAGGACUUUUCACAUUGCUUAUGUCUGAUUCAUGCUUUUCCCUGCCUCUUUUUCUCCCUUAAAUCCAAGCUGUGAUUAGAUGCAAUCUUUGUGGAGUGUUUAUAGGGAAGGUUUCAGUGUCUUGUGGUAGUUGUCAAGUCAAAAUGUUGCCUUUUGGGGAAGAAGGGAGAGGAAGCGUUUGUACAGUGCAGAGUACGAUGAGGCAGAGUUUUUGGUUUAAAUAAUCAGCCCUCUCUGCUGCUAAAAAGAAGGAAAAAGUUGGGAACAGUUGAUUUAAAAACUAAGUUUAAUUGUGAUUUGCCACUUCUGAAAAUCAAUUUGGGCUUCUCUUUUCCACAUUUAUUUGGUUCAGAAUCCUAAUGAAUAGAGGUUGCUACAAUCAGAGUUAAGAACAGGAUGAACCAGAGAUGGGACAUAAAGUGUACUUUUGUAAUUGCCAUAAAUUACACUUAGGAUCAGAGUAAAUGACAUCUAAAAAAAUAAUCAGAUGUUCUUUCACAUUUGCUCUUUUAAAACCAGAGCUUAUUUUUAAAUACCAUAAGAAAAAGUAGACAUAAUAAUAAUAUAAAAACAAACACAAAGUGCGGUUUACAUUAAGUUGAUUUUAAAGUCAAAAUCGAACCCAGGUUUGCACUGUUGGAUGUGUGUUCCGACUCAGUGGAUUUUACCCCUGGUGUUGGUUUUGGAAGCCAGGAUACAAUGCUUAAUUCUAUGGUAAUAAGGUUGAUUUAGCCUGAAUGGUCUUUAUAAGGUGAAAAGGCAAAAAGUUUAACCCCAAAGAAAAUUAAUGGUUUACUAUGAUUGCAUUAAAUAUUCACAGGCUAAAAGCCUACCCGCGGGAAAUAAAAAGUUUUCAAUGCUUCGUGUGUAUGUGUGUGUGUGUUUCUCACUGACAAAACUGGUGGUGGGGUUGGGCGGGGUGGGGGGGAGUCUACCGUAUAUUUUUCCUGCUGGGUGGUCAGAAGGAAAGGCCAGGAAGCCAAAGGCCUCCCAUUGAGUCGCCGCUCUGCGAAGAGCAGAAGAGCCGACCUCACGUGCAGCCACUGAGGGCACCUGUUCAUCUCUGCGCACUGUGGGGGCGAGCUCUACGCAGGCAGCAGGAGGGGCCGGGCGCGUGCCCCCUGCAGCCAUGGAGAUGAUACCCACAACAUGCUCACAGCAGAUUUAGGACACCAUCUAAAAUAUCCACGAAGCCAUUUUCCAGCAAAACUGCUAAGUAAUUUUAAUGCCAGUGAGUAUUACAUUUGGUUAAAAGAGUGUGUGUGUGUGUGUGUGUGUGUGUGUGUGUGUGCGUGAGAGAGAGAGAGAGAGAGAGAGAGAGAGAGAGAGAGAGAGAGAGAGAGAGAGAGAGAAUAUGCGUCCAAACCUGUUUGAGAUUCAAGGAGAGGGAAAUAUGGAUGACAGGUUCUAUUUAGAAGUUUGCAAAUGUUUUAUGGUACCAAGAAAUGACACCCUCCCCCACACACAAACAAAAAAGAAAGAAAGAAACAAGAAAAGACUACUACAAAAUAUAUCAUCCUUUGCUAUGAUUUUGUAUGAACAUAUAUAAAUGGAUGAUAACCUUUCUUCCUAUAAGAACUGUAACAAAGUUAUGAAGGACAGUUGUUCUGCUUUUCCUUCAAGCAUACAGUUAAAAUUUUGUAUUUUGUACAGGAUGAUUCGUAUAACACUAUAACUGAACUCACAUAUAUUUCAUCUGAUUAGAUGCUUAAAUAUAUUCUGUCUUUUUGAGAACUGAGGUCAAAGUGGAAAUUGUGGUUGGCCUGGGUGAAUAUAUAUCUUUUCUUUAUCUAAUUCUUGACACAAAGAAAAACCAGUCCAGAGAAAAUUUUCCAGUAUAUCAAUUUUAAAUGAACCUGGAAGUCAUGUUGAAUUAUUGUGGCUAACUCAGACAUACCCUGGUUGGUGAGACUCUAGUUCUAUUAAAGGACUUUCCCCUCUCUUGAGAUCAUGGCUUUUCACAAGAUGGGAAAUUGGUUGGUUUUUAUUUCCAAUUUCUGCAAAGAAUACACAUGCAACCAGUAUUCAUACAAAACUGCACGUGUUGGAAGGCCUCUGAGGGAGGAGCAAUGCUAUAGGGGAGGGCAAAUGCACAAAUAAUGAAUCAAGUUUAAAGGACUGGUCAAAUGCAAGGAGCAAGUGAUACUGAUCUUAUAUGUAAGGGGCUUGGACAUCACACCAGCUGCCAGGGGGUUUGAUUAAUGAGGCAUUAAGGAGAUGGAGUGACACUUACAGCUAGUUACUUAUGGUGCUAAUUUCAAAACACUUUGCAAUAGACAAAGAGACUCUGCUCAUAAUGCAAAGUAAUUUGUGGUGUGUUCCUGGUGAAUGCAUUUAGCGAAGCAAAUAUAGUUAUGCGGAAUUUAAAUUAAGGUUGACACUAAUGUAAACAGAGCCCAAGAACCACUGUCCAAUAAUUUGAUGAGGACAUAGGUUUUAAUCAAGCCUCUUCCACUAAAAUAGCAAUUUAAAUCCCCAUCGUUUAGACUGGAUAAAAUGCUUAAGCCCUGAAGGUUGUUGUUGGUGGUGGGGUGGGGAGGGGAUAGAAAUUUACUGGAAAAGAAAAAAAGAAACAUAUUAUCUCUGGGGGGAAAGGGUGACUAUGCUUUGACCCAAGAGAGGGCUAUGCAUGUGGCUGUAAAUACCAGGUUGAUUUCAAGGCCAGGUCUGGGUAUUUGAAAGCAUUGAACAUGUAUCCUUUUUGUUGUUGCAAAGUUGUGGUUGGAUACAUUGUGGUAGUAUUGAUCUCAGAAUAAAAAUGCUCCUGGUAAUUGGGAAGUGGAGACUAAGCUGAUUCUGAGGCUCCAGAAGUAUUUAUUUUAUUAAGAGGAGAAAUCCUCCCAGCCCCCAACGGAUUCCUAUUUGAACAGGAAAAAUUCCGCAUUGACAGGGAGUGGAGGAAGGGGGGCAGGGCUGGUUGGGGAGACUGGCCAGCCAUCCUGAAGGGUUAGCUUGACUGGGGAACCCACACUCACACAUGGCUUUGUCUGGGUUUGCCAAUUUAUUUCCCUUACUCAAAGUCAUUGGGGGCUGGGUGGGGGUGGGGUCAUCCCAGGCAUUAACAUUAAUUAAAAUGCCAGUGGCCUGCGUUCCAGGGCCUGGGAGGUUUUGUAUAUGGGAAACAAAACCAAACAAAAUAGCAAUUUAUUCUGUCACUGCUCCUGGAAGGAAAAACAAGUGACAGUUUGGCAACAUUCUCUAGGGCCUCCAGACUUUAUCCCUGGCAGAAGAAUAGGAAAGGUAAGGGAAACCCCAGUCUCUGGAUUGUGUGAUUCUGACUUCUCCAAAUCACAUUUGAUAUCUUCUGUGGAAAGAAAUUGGUAGGAUGAAGUGUAUUUUCCAAAGCCAUUCAGAAGAAAGGGCCAAAAAUUCUUUGGGGAGAAAAAUCCUUUAAGUGUAUGGUGUUCUGAAAAUGCUUCACGAUCACCCACCUUAAUUAAUGUGGUGGGGUUGGGGGUAGGACAGGAGAUUUUUACAUCUGGGAGAUGAAGGACAGGUCUGAGCAUUUAUUCGGAGUCAGGCACCAGGGGCCUGGUUGGGAAGAUGUGUCUUAAACUCAGAGAAACUGAUCCCAAGGAGCUUUAGUCACAAUCCUAAGGUCACACAGGCAGGACCUGCAAGGCCAGUGUGCUGUCGUUCCCAGGCUCAGUCCCACAGGGGAUGCUGCUUCUUAGAGAAGACUUAUCUUUUCUCUGGGACCCUUUAUGUGUGAUCCUUUUGGGGUCACAUUAGUGAUACUUUGGGGAGACUCCACCUCAGUUGUAUUACCUGAGGAAAAUCCACAUCUCAAGCUUCCUUCUUGCAAACAGGAAAAAGAGAAGGGACAUUUGAUAAUAUCCAUCCCUCUGAAGUUAGAGAAAAGGAACUGAAAUGCAUUCAUGUUCAUCCCAAUGACAAGGAUAGCAAUUCUGAAAACAGUGAAUCCACAUGACUUUUGUGUCUUAAAAAAAAAAAAAAAAGAGCCAUCCAUUUUGAAAUCAGAAGUCAGAGGUGAGAGGAGACUGGACAUGUGUGGGGACCUGUGUGGAGGAAUCCCAGAACACAAGACUCUGAGGGUAGGCUUGUCCUCCUUUCUGCUCCCCCAGGAACAUCAGAGAGAAGGAUGGGUAGAAGAGAUUACAGGGAAAGGGAGAGGGACUUGGAAAGUCAGAGUAUCUUCCAGAAGGAUGGGAAUUUGUAUUUUUUUAGAAAAGGAAAAUAAUAUGUUGGGUGAUGACUCUGGGGGCCUCCCAGGUUUGGGGACACAUAUUUCUCCUGUGCCUUGGCUCACCUCCUCUUCCCCUCACCUGUGUGAAGCCUCCUCACGUAGAAUGUUGAUUCCAGGCCUGUCCUGUGUUUUCACAGGCCAGAAUGAGGCCAAGUGCCUGCUCAUGUCAAGAUUCAACCUUAAGAAAUGGGACAUGAACUACCCUUUGUCCAGGCUCCUCUGGGGACAAUUCCAACAGCAUCCCACUCCCCUCUGCAUGUGAUUCUGAUGGGCUAGAUCCUGUUGCCCUGGCAAUGACCAGCCCAGAGAUACUUUAUGGAUUUUUCCAUUUCCUCCUUCCUCACCUCAUCUUCCCCAAGCACUCACUUCUGCUUUCUAAGGUCACCUGCUCAAGAAUCCACACACCACUUUCUCUUUUCCAGCUGUCCUCUGCAUACCUUCAUGUAACUCAGGAUGGUCUUGUAAGGGCGUAUUGGAGUCAUCUGACCUUUUCCUUAACUUUAUUACCCAAACCAUGAUUCUGCAGACCUCGUGUUAUCAUUAGGGUGGCCAGCUGGGGUCCAGGUCCUUGGUGUCUUGAAAGAAUUGAGAACAACACACACACGAGUAACAGGUAAAUUACAGAAAUAUGAAGGUGAAUGUAGAAGUAGCACUCCAUAAGAUAGCGCUGAGUGGGCUGAGCAAGAGGGGGACCUGACUGAAGACCUUGCCCUAUUUUCCCCCAUUGGUUACCUUAUGAUAUUUGAUUAUAAUGUUGUCCAUUUACCCCAUUGGUCAUUUUUUAAAAUAAAUAUUUUAUAGAUGUAGUUGGACACAAUACCUUUAUUUUAUUUUUUUAUUUUUAUGUGGUGCUGAGAAUCUAACCCAGGGCCUCACACGUGAUAGGUGAGCACUCUACUGCUGAGCCACAACCCCAGCACCCCCAUUGGUCAUUCUAAAAUACGGAACCCGUGGCAGCAGUUUUCAUGGUGAUGAGUCCUCAGUGGUAAAGUUGUCAUGGUAAUGGGAUUUAUCAUAACAGGGAUGUCACCCCUCUCUCUGUCUUGUCCUCCAGUGGCAUUCUUCUUAUACCCUACCUAUGACAUCUUGGUGUUCUUGACCUCAUACCUAACACUUAUGCCUCUGAAAUGGCUUGUCAUGAACUGUCAAAAGUAUCUCAUUCUUUCUUGAGGGAUACACUGAUCCUUAUUGCUCUGAAUGUAAGUGAAUAGUUUAGAAAUUUCAAUUCAUUUCUUUUGGCUUCUGUCUCUGUCUCUUGUCUCUCUCUCCUCUCUGUGUCUCUUGAUAAAACAAUUGUACAAACCAUUGUAAAAAAGUUUGCUUCUCAAAGUGUUCUAGAAAUGAAUGAUGCUGGUGAUGUACUCUGGACUCAUUUGUCUCCUCCUCCUCCUUCUCCUCCCUUCUUCCUUCCUCCUCUUCCUUCUUUUUUUUUUUUUUAAUGGUACUGGGGACUGAACCCAGAGGUGCUCUACCACUAAACUACAUCCCCAGUCUUUUUUAUUUUGAGAUAGGGUCUUUCCAAGGUUGGCCUCAAUCUUUCAAUCCUCCUGCCUCAGCCUCCUGUGUUACUGGGAUAAUAUGUGUGUGCCACUAUGUCUGGCUGGACUCAUUUCUUAUUAUAGAAACAUGAGGCGAAAAAUAGAGUAUGAGCAAAGCCAAGGAGAAGUCAGCAGAUGGCUCUUGAAAUAGAUGGAGAAGUGCUCACAUUCUUCUGCCUGCCUGUGAAGGAAAUCCAAACCUGUUUCUCCUGCCCUACCUCUUGAUUUGGAAUCUCAGUGCAAAUCCCAACAUCAACACAGUUGCUAUGGAUUUUUAUGAUUAUCUUAAGAAUUUGUCUCAAGUGAGGCUCAAGGACCAUUAGGAGCAGGUGCUGGGAUACCAAUCGCUCACCUAUGGCUCUCAGCUCAGCACACCUUACCCUCUUUUCUACCUUCCGGUCUCUGUAUUGCAAAUGCCACCUUGUUGGGCACAAAGCCUACUUUCUUUCAAGCACUGAGAUAUUUUGCCAUUUAACUCAGCCCAGAAGCCUCCCAUAAUUUCCUCUUAAACAGGGCAGAAAUGACUAAGUUCUUCUUAUCAGAUUGAAAGCAUUCCCUGUUUGUAGGAAAUACUGACCUCUUCUGUGCCAGAUCACAAGACCCUCCUGCAUAGAGCCGGUUGCCUUUCAACAGCAGUCUGACCACUGAGAGGGCUCCAGGUUAUCUGGGAGAGGCUCUGACCAAGCCAGCUUCCUGCCCAGUUAUUCCAAUUGAGCCCUAAUUCUUUAUGCUCUUGUGGGCUGGCCCUUGUCAAAUGGUUGGGACUUUCAAGGAGGCAGCUGGGAAUGGCAGACCUUUACCCCGCUCAGAAAUGGGCAGGAACAGAUUGAUAUGUAGAUUUUGGGUUGGUCUGGGAAUGUCUGCUGAUAAAUAGGCUUAAGGCAUUGGGGGUUGUGUCUAUUGAAAACCUAAACAGAAAUGCUGAGGUCUAGAUCCUUGGUUUUACUAUAUUUCUUUUUUAAAAUAUUUUUUGAGUUGUUGAUGGACCUUUAUUUUAUUUAUUUAUAUGUGGUGCUGAGAACUGAACCCAGUGCCUCACACAUGCUAGGCAAGUGCUCUACCACUGAGUUACAACCUCAGCUCUCUACUAUAUUUCUUUUAACAAACAUUUUGGGGGUUAGUUCCAGAACUGGGUCAUUUCUCUUAGACUUUAUUUCUAGAUUUCACCAUUUUGCUUGCCUUCCUCCUCCUUCCAGGGCACAAGUGGGAAUCCUGGGUGAUUCUCCUGGCUUUUUGUUGUUGUUGUUGUUGUUAAUCAGUCCUCAAGCUCCCCACCCACUGGGCUCUGCUAUGUGCUGAACACACAAUUUUUACUUUAGCCUUCAGAAUUAUCUGUAGCUCCCUUUAAUCCCAGAGUAUUUAUACAACCAAUUUAUUUUGCAGAGACUGAUGCUUUGGGGUAUAUUUUUUUCCUGACAGGUUUGGGGGGCACUAAUAAUUUAUUCCUUCAAAAAGCUCUUUGGUCCAUGACUUUGCUUCCUAGAAUUUCUUUAGACAAUGGAUAUAUUUGUUGUAUAAGUAGUGGUCUAAGAAGUGCAUGGAGAUGAGUGGGGUGGAUUUUGAUGGCUUAGGGAAAUUUCUGGGGUUUUCUGAGCAUAGUAGUUAUGCAUGAGGUCAACGUAAUGCCAGUAUUAUUCAUGUUCUUAUAAAACUUGGAAUUUACAUUCUUAGGUUAUUGGAGAAUCAAUCAGUCAAGGUAUUGGUGAUAUCUCAUCUGCCAUUUUAAAAUUAUUUACUAAACCCUUUAGAUUUUUUUUUUUUUUUUGGUAAUGCCAUGUUAUCACUACUUUUCCAUUCUCUCUGCCAGUAGCACUCUACAGGCCUUAAUGACACAGAAAAUCUCUACAUUGUCAGCAACCUCCAAGAUCGACUUCCAGCCCUGCCUGCACUGUGAACAGGUGUUGGUUACUAGAGGUGUCUUAAUGUCUACAGGAAGGGGCAAUUUGUGAAAAUUUCCCCUCCAAUUAUCAUUCCAUGCCCAUAUUUUGUAUAAGAUCUUCUAUACCUAUUAUUCCAAUUUCUCUGAUUUCAUGUUCUAAGUCACGAUAGUUGGUCAUAGAAAUUGAAAUCAUCAUCUAUGUUUCAUAUAAGUUUUCCUGUUAUGUUGCUGAGGCUGGCCUGCAAUUUUUGAUCCUCCUGCCUCAGCUUCCCUGAUAGAUAGGAUUAUGAGUAUGAGCCACCAUACCCAGCCAUAAUUUUUAUAUUUAAGAAAUGUUGGUUCUUUGGUAUGUCUCUAUCGUAUAUAGAGUCUUAAAUUUUCUGUUGAUCAAAAGAGAUUAGAUUAGAUAUGGCUCAGUGGAUUUAACACUGAGAACUGAAAAAAAAAAUGUUGUGGAUAAGAAGGUAUAAUUGCAUUUUCCUGUCAACAUAAUAAAAGGUUUUGGAAAUUUACCAGGAAUGGACUGACAUGAUGGCCUCUGAUUUUAGACAUCAAUCUAAACCUCAGAAAGUAACAUUUGUGCUUACUGAUGUGAUUCAUUAGGAAAUACACAUUUUUUGACCAAAAAAAAAAAAUCCAACUCGAAUCACAGGAAGCCUCAAGAUUUAUCUUCUAGCUGACAAGAAAUCUAGGGGUGGAAGAACCUGCUAAAUGAUCCCCUGAAGAUAUCUCCAACACAAUCCAUGGCAAGAAGCCCUAUAGGACACAUUACCUUGUUUCUUCAACAAAUAAGCAUCAGGAUGAAAAAUAAAGAUGGGACCUGGCCCUGUGAUGCAUGCCUGUAAUCCCAGCAACUCCAGAGGCUGAGCCAGGAGAAUUACAAUUUUGAGGCCAACUUCAGCAACUUAAAGAGGCCCUAAACAAUUUAGUGAGAACCUGUCUGAAAAAUAAAUAAGUAAAUAAAUAGGGCUGGGGAUGAGGAUGUGAUUCAGUGAUAAAGUGAAUGCCCUGGGUUCAAUCCUCAAUUAAAAAAAAUAAGGGGGAAUUCAUAGAUGUGAAAAGAUGCAAAUACAUUUUGACCAAUGCCAUGUGUAGGCCUUAUCUGAUUUUCCCCCUUUAUAUUAAUGCAUUAUAUGUAUACAUAAUAGUUAAUUUUGAUAAAAUCAUUCAUGCAUGCAAUUUUAUUGACUCCAUUUUCCCCUAAUCCUCCCCAUUUUCCUUUCCUCCUCCUUCCCUCAUUCUCCUACCUCCACUGGUCUUUCUUUUAUUUGUUUGUUUAUUUUUGAUUGCUGCUUUAUAGAUACUCAUGAAGGUGGAAUUCACUCUGGUAUAUUUGUGUAUACACAUAGUGUGAUUUUGUUAAAUUCAUUCUGCUGUUCCUUCCUUUUCCCAUCCUUCCUUUCUCCCUCUUGGUCUCCAACUUUGCCCAUCUCCUCCAUCUUUCUGAUAUCUGCAUAUGAGAGAAAACAUAUGACCCUUGAUUCUCUGUGUCUGGCUCUUGUUUGAAUCUUGAUUGCGAUAAAGCAGCUCCCCCUUUGCACCAAAUAACAUGAGAUAAUUGGGGAAAAUUUAAACACUUUUGGGCCAUUCAGAAACUAUUGUUUACUUUUUAGAUGUACCAAUGCUACAUAUAGCUAUACUUUACAAAGUCUGUAAUUUUUAUGGAAGCACUUGAGGAAUUAUUUCAGGAAGAAGACUUAAUAUCUGGAAUUAACUUGCAAAUAAACCAGUUGGUAGACAAAGUGGGUGUAGGGGAAGCAAAUCAGGAUUGGCCAUGGGUUGGAACUGAGCAUUGUGAUACACUAUUCUAAUGUAUUUGAAGAUUUCCAAAAUGAAAAGUGAAAAAAAUGUCAGCUCAUAUUCCUGAACAGAUUCGUCCCAUAUCUCUCAGCCAUUGAACAUUAGAGAGAGACUGGAGUCUACAGUGGCCAUAUGCUCUUCUCCUAGGCUCACUCACUUCCUUCUUGGUGGUGAUGGCCAAUCUGGUUGAAGAAGUCGUCUCUAUGAGGCUGAUACUGUCUUGCUGCUGCUUGGGUGCUCUUUCCUGUUCGCUGGUGUUUUAUUUGCUAAAAGUACACAUCUGUAAUCCCAGAAACUUGGGAGGUUGGGGCAGAGAAGGCAGAGGAAAGGAGGAGGAAGUGAGGAUUCAUUUUUGAGAAACACUGGGUUUGAAGUAAUGAUGGAAUUCUAGCAGGAAUGUCUGGCAAACAGCUGAAAAGGUGAAACUAAAAGUCUCAAGGCAGGGGAAGCUAGAAAUGCCAAUAGCGAUGGUUAUAAGGAGCUGAGCUGAAGUUUCUCAGAUUGAAGAGUUUAAAGAAGAAUGGUAUCCGCUACUGCCAAGGUAUAUGUUGCUAGAAUGAUGGCUCUUGGGUUUGUGAAUCAGAGGUCAACCUGUGCAAUGGCCCUCACUUCCUCCUCCUUUCCUCUACCUUCUCUUUUUUUCUUCUUUUGGUACUGGGGAUUGAACCCAGCUGGGGGUUACCAUUGAGCCAAAUCCCCAGCCCUUUUGAUUUUUUAAUUUAUGACAUAGUUUUGCUGAGUUGCUUAGAGCCUUGCUAAAUUGCCAACUGGCCUCAAAUUUGCAGUCCUCCUGUCUCAACCUCCCAAGUUGCUGGGAUUACAGAUGUGUACUGUAGCACCCGGCUCACUCUCCCCACUCUCCCCUCUGUAUUUCCCAAGGUGACAUAUUUAUUGUCAGCUCUUUUGUAAUUUUUUUAAAAUUGUAUUUUUUAUUCUAAUUUGUUAUAUAUGACAUCAGAAUGCAUUACAGUUGAUAUCACACUUAUAGAGCACAAAUUUUCAUCUCUCUGGUUGCAUACAAAGUAUAUUCACAUCAUUUGUGUUUCUUCAUACAUGUACUUAGGGUAAUGAUGUCCAUCUCAUUCCACCGUCUUUCUUACUCCAUUUCCCCUUCAUUCCCCUCCUACCCCUUUGCCCUAUCUAGAGUUUGUCUAAUCUUCCCUUGCUCCACCUACCAACCCCACUAUGAAUCAGCCUCCUUAUAUCAGAGAAAACAUUCAACUUUUGGUUUUAUGGCAUUAAUUAACUUCACUUAGCCUUAUAUUCCCUGACUCCAUCCAUUUACCUGCAAAUGCCAUGAUUUUAUUCUCUUUUAAUGCUGAAUAAUAUUCCAUUGUGUAUAUAUAUACCACAUUUUCUUUGUGCAUUCAUCUGCUGAAGGGCGUUUAGGUUGGUUCCACAGUUUAGCAAUUGUGAAUUGUGCUGCUAUAAACAUUGAUGUGGCUGAGUCCCUAUAGUAUGCUAUUUUUAAGUCCUCUGGGUACAGACCGAGGAGUGGGAUAUCUGGGUCAAAAGAUGGUUCCAUUCCUAGUUUUCCAAGGAAUCUCCAUACUGCUUUCCAUAUCGGUUGCACCAUUUUGCAGUCCCACCAACAGUGUUUGAGUAUGCCUUUUUCCCCACAUCCUCGCCAACACUUAUUGUUGUUUCUAUUUUUAAUAGCUGCCAUUUUGACUGGCGUGAGAUAAAAUCUUAGAGUAGUUUUGAUUUGCAUUUCUUUAAUUGCUAGAGAUGUUGAACAUUUUUCAUAUGUUUGUUGAUUAAUUGUAUACCACUUUUUGAGAAGUGUCUGUUCAGUUCCUUGGCCCAUUUAUUGAUUGGGUUAUUUGUUUUUUUCAUGUCUAGCUUUUUGAGUUCUUUAUAAACCCUAGAGAUUAGUGUUUAUCUGAUGUGCUUGUGGUAAAAAUUUGCUUCCAAGACGUAGGUUCUCUACAAACCUCACUGAUUGUUUCUUUUGCUGAGAAGAAGUUUUUUAGUUCGAAUCCAUCUCAUUUAUUAAUGCUUGAUUUUAAUUCUUGCGCUAUAGAGUAUUAUUAAGGAAGUAGGGCCUAAUCCAAUAUGAUGGAGAUUAGGGCCUACUUUUUCUUUUAUUAGAUGCAGCAUCUCUGGUUUUAUUUCUAGGUCCUUGAUCCACUUUGAGUUGAGUUUUGUGCAUGGUGAGAGAUGGGGGUUUAAUUUCACUUUGUUGCAUAUGGAUUUCCAGUUUCCCCAGUACCAUUUGUUGAAGAGGUUAUCUUUUCUCCAAUGUAUGUUUUUGGUGCCUUUGUCUAAUAUAAGAUCACUGUAAUUAUAUGGGUUAGUCUCUCAUCCUCUAUUCUGUACCAUUGGUCUACCAGUCUAUUUUAGUGUGAAUAACAUGCUGUUUUUGUUACAAUUGCUCUGUAGUAUAGUUUAAGGUCUGGUAUAGCGAUGCCACCUGCUUUACUCUUCUUCUUAUGGAUUGCUUUAGGUAUUCUGGGUCUUUCAUUUUUUCCAGAUGAAUUUCAUGAUUGCUUUUUCUAUUUAUAUGAGGAAUGUCAUUGGGAUUUUGAUUGGAAUUGCAUUAAAUCUGUGUAGUGCUUUUGGUAGUAUGGUCAUUUUGACAUUAUUAAUUGUGCCUAUCCAAGAACAAGGAAGAUCUUUUCAUCUUCUAAGGUCUUCUUUAAUUUCUUUCUUUAGCAUUCUGUAGUUUUUAUUGUAGAGAACUUUUACCUCUUUUGUUAGAUUGAUUCCCAAGUAUUUUUUUUUUUUUUGCAGCUAUUGUAAACUAUGGUGUAAACUAUGAUGUAACUUUCCUCAUUUCCCUUACAGAGGAUUUGUCACUAAUAUACAAAAAUGCCUUUGAUUUAUGGGUGUUGAUUUUGUAUUCUGCUACUUUGCUGAAUUUAUUUACUAGUUCUAGAAGUUUUCUGGUGGAAUUUUUUGAGUCUUCUAGGUAUAGAAUCAUAUCAUUGGCAAAUAGUGCUAAUUUGAGUUCUUCUUUUUCCUAUCUGUAUCCCUUUAAUUUCUUUCAUCUGUCUAAUUUCUCUGGCCAGUGUUAAAUAGAAGUGGUGAAAGAGGGCAUCCCUGUCUUGUUCCAAUUUUCAGAGGGAAAACUUUCAAUUUUUCUAUAUUUAGAAUGAUGUCGGUCUGGGGCUUAGCAUAGAUAGCUUUUACAAUGUUGAGAUGUUCCUGUUAUUCCUAGUUUUCUAGUGUUUUGAACAUGAAGGGAUGCUGCAUUUUGUCAAAUGAUUUUUCUGUAUCUAUUGAGAUGACAAUAUGGUUUUUAUGAUUAAGUCUAUUGAUGUGAUGAAUUACAUUUAUUGAUUUCUAUAUGUUGAAACAACCUUGCAUCCCUGGGAUGAACCCCACUUGAUCAUGGUGCACUGUCUUUUUGAUAUGUGUUUGUAUUCGAUUUGCCAGAAUUUUUGCAUCUAAGUUCAUUAGAGAUAUUGUUCUGAAGUUUUUUUUCUUUGAUAUGUCUUUGUCUGCUUUGGAAUCAGGAGUGACAUUGGCCUCAUAGAAUGAGUUUGGAAGUGCUCCCUCUUUUUCUAUCUCCUGAAAUAAAUUGAAGAGCAUUGGUAUUAGUUCUUCUUUGAAGGUCUUGUAGAACUCUGCUGUGUGUCCAUCUGGUUCUGGGCUUUUCUUGGUUGGUAAGCUUCUGAUGGCAUCUUCUAUUUCAUCACUUGAUAUUGGUCUGUUUAAAUUGUGUAUAUCGUCCUGAUUCAACUUGGGGAAAUCAUAUGACCCUAGAAAUUUGUCAAUGCCUUCAAUAUUUUCUAUUUUAUUGGAGUAUAAAUUUUCAAAAUAAUUUCUAAUUAUCUUCUGUAUUUCUCAAGUUUUUCCUGUGAUAUUUACUUUUUCAUUAUAUAUUUUAAUAAUUUGAGUUUUCUCUCCCUCUCAUUGUUAGCAUGGCUAAGGGUUUGUCAAUUUUAUUUAUUUUUUUCAAACAACCAACUUUUUAUUCUGUCAAAUUUUCAAUUGUUUAUUUUGUUUCAACUUCACUGAUUUCAGCUCUGAUUUUAAAUAUUUCUGCUUUUGGUGUUGAUUUGUUAUUCUUUUUUCUAGGGAUUUGAGAUGUAAAGUGAUUUAUUUGUUGACUUUUUCUUCUUUUAAGGAAUGAACUCCAUGCAAUGAACUUUCCUCUUAGUACUGCCUUCAUAGUGUCCUAGAGAUUUCAAUAUGUUGUAUCUGUGUUCUCAUUCACCUCUAAGUAUUUUUAAAUAUCCUCCUUUAUAUCUUUUGCAGCCCAUUGUUCAUUCAGUAGCAUAUUAUUUAGUCUCCAGGUGUUGGAGUAGCUUUUAUUUUUUAUUUUAUCAUUGAUUUCUAAUUUUAUUCCAUUAUAAUUUGAAAGAAUGCAGGGUAGUAUCUCUCCUUUUUAAUAUUUGCUAAAAGUUGCUUUGUAGCAUAAUUUAGGGUCUAUUUUAGAUAAGGAUCCAUGUGCUGCUGAAAAUAAAGUGUAUUUGUUCAUUGUAGGAUGAAAUAUUUUAUAUUUGUCAGUUUAGUCUAAGUUAUUGAUUCUAUUAGUAAGUUCUAUAGUUUCUUUGUUCAGCUUUUGUUUGGACUAUCUAUGCAGUGGUGAAACAGGUGUGUUAAAGUUACCCAGAAUAUUGUGUUGUGGUCUAUUUGACUCUUGAACUUGAGAAAAGUUUGAUGAAUGUAGAUGCUCUAUUGUUUGGGACAUAUAAAUUUAUUAUUAUUAUAUCUUGUUGAUGAAUGGUUCCCUUAAGCAGUAUGAAAUACCCUUCCUUAUCCCUUUUGAUUAACAUUGGCUUGAAGUCUUCUUUAUUUGAUACAAGGAUGGAAACCCCUCCAUGCUUCCACAGUCCAUGUGAGUGGUAUGACUGUUCCCAACCUUUCACCUUCAGUCUGUGGAUAUUUCUUAUGAAAUGAGUCUCUUGGAGGCAGCAUAUUGUUGGGUCUUUUUUUGUAAUCCAAUAUGCCAGUCUAUGUUUUGAUUGGUGAGUUUAUGACAUUAACAUUCAUGGUUAUUGAGACAUGAUUUGUAGUCCCAGCCAUUUUUGUUUAUUUUUGAUAUUUAACUUCACUUGGUUUCUCCUUUGAUUAGUUUUUCCUAUAGUGUAAUACCUCCCUUUUCUGAUUUUCUUUGUUGUUUUUCAAUUCCUCUUCAUGGAAUAUUUUGCCGAGGAUGUUCUAUAGUGCAGCCUUUUGAGUUGUAAAUUCUUUUAACUUUUGUUUAUCAUGGAAGUUUUUAUUUCAUCAUCAAAUUUAAAGCUUAAUUUUGCUGGAUAUAAGAUUCUUGGUUGGCAUCCAUUUUCUUUCAGAGCUUUGAUAUAUGUUCUUCCAGGAUCUUUUAGCUUUCAGGGUCUGGGUUGAAAAAUCUGCACAUAAUCUAAUUGGUUUCCCCCUAUAUGUGAUCUGAUUCUUUUGUCUUGUGGCUUUUAAUAUCCCCUCCCUAUUCUAUAAGUUAGGCAUUUUCAUUAUAAUGUGCCUUGGUGUGGAUCUCUUGUGAUUUUGUAUAUCUGGCAUCCUGUUAGCCUCCUGAAUUUGGUUUUCCAAUUCAUUCUUCAUGUUUGGAAAAUUUUCUGAUAUUAUUUCAUUGAAUAGGUUGUUCAUCCCUUUGGUUUGGAACUCUAUGCCUUCCUCUAUCCUCACAACUCUUAAAGUUGGUCUUUUCAUGCUAUUCCAUAUUUCUUGAAUGUUCUGCUCAUGGUUUCUUACCAUUUUCACACUGUGGUCUACAUUCUUUUCAAGAUUAUAUAUUUUGUCUUCAUUGUCUAAGGUCCUGUCUUCUAAGUGGUCUAAUCUGUUGGUGAUGCUUUCAAUUGAUUUAAAAAUUUUUUUUCUUUCAGUUCAAGGAUUUCUGUGUGUGUGUGUGUGUGUGUGUGUGUACUUGUAGAAUCUCUAUUUCCCUAUUGAAGUAAACUUUUGCUUCCUGUAUUUGUUUAUGUAGCUCAUUGUCAAAAUGAUCUUUUGUUGCCUCUAUUUGCUCUCUUAUAUCAUCCUUUAAUUCACAGAACAUUUUAAUUAUGUACAUUCUGAACUCCUUUUAUGUCAUUUCUCUUGCUGUGCUGGACGUGGAUUCUAAUAAUGUUGUAUCUUGAUUUGUUUGGGGCACUUUCUUUCCUUGUCUUUUCAUAUUGCUUGUGUGUCUUCCCUUCUAGCACUGUGAAUCCAAGGUGUUACCUUUUUUACCCUAUAGGUUUAUAGAGCCCCUGUAAAGAUCCAAUACCUUUCCUUUGAAGUGAAGGACAGUGUUAUCAGAUCCCAAUAUAAAUAAUAUACACUCUAAAAAUAAAUGUUUGCUAUUAAGACAUUUACAGUUUGGUUACAAUGUACAGAAAUGGUGAAUUCAAUUAUUAUCUACAAUAUACUCAGUAGGUUUGUAAAAGGGUUUACAGUUUUUGAUGGUGGACAAAGAACUGGGGGUGAGGAGUAGGAUGAUAUGCUGAGGAGGUAGAAAGUGAGAAUAUAGAGUUAUUAUAUCUUAGGAAAUGUGAAAAUGAAAUCUAAAGAGGAAGAUUAGUACAGGAAGAGAGAGAGGAAGUAAUUUGGGGUAGACAAGUAAGUGGAAAGACAGUAGAGUACAUAAAACACACACACAUAUACAUUAAGAAAAAUAAAAAAAUGUUAAAAUAGUACAAAUUUGUUGAGAGUCACAUAUAUCAGAUUAACUAUCUAUUUUAAGUUUAUUAAAACAUCAUGGUUAAGGAAAUAUGAUGGUCAAUUUUGGCCAAAAUGGAAAUGGAUAUAUUUUAUUUGAUAUAUGUAUUUUUAUGUGAUAUAUAUAUAUAUAUAUAUAUAUAUAUAUAUAUAUAUAUAUUUUGUUUUUUUUUUUGUGGUACUGGGGACUGAGGCUAAGAGUGCUCUACCACUGAACUAUAUUCUUAGCCCUUUUUAUAUUUUAUUUUAAGAAAGGGUCUUGCUCAGUUACCGUAGGCUGACCUCAAACUUGUGAUCCUCCUUCCUUGGUCUGUAAAUACAUGUUGAUAAAUGUCUAUAUUUAUCAACAAGGUAUAGGGUGAGCACAAGCAGGAAGUAGGUUUGGAAUGUCUAUAGCUCUCUCUCUCCCUCUCUUUCUCUCUGACUGUUCAUCUCACUACACCCCUUAGAACAGCUCUACGUGUUCUGUGACAGAGAUACCAAGAUCCCCCAUCUUCUUGAAUUACAUCCUGGAGAGGAUGCUUAGAUAUAAAAUCAGACAGUUUCUAUAUCACAUGCAAAGUGCUAGGAUAGUAGGGUAAACAGGUACCUGAGAGAACCAAAGGGAGAAAUUUAGAUCAAGAUGGAGGGUGCCAGAAGCCUGCCUUUGUUUUGAAGAUGAAAACCCGGCAGGUGAAGAUAUGAGGGACACUGCAUGAUCCACCAGGACCCUGAGCCACUCAACAGCACCAACAAGUCGUGAGCCCAAGUUUGUUGAACUCCGCUAUGUUCUAGGCAUUAUGCUGCAUUCUCCUGUAUUUCAUUUGUGCUUCACAAACACCCCUGAGGAAUCAUUUCCAUUUCAUGGCAAGAGGAAGCUGUAGCAUGGGUAGUCUGAGACUUGCCUCAGGUGAUGUGGCUCUGCCAGCUUUUAAACACUCCAUGUGGACAAAGUGUCAGGUUUGAGGUCAGAUCUCAGGAAGAUGGGCUGGAGCUGCCCGCAGGGACCCAAUGUCAGGGAGAGUGAAGAGUUAAGGAAAGGGGAGGGUGUGAAGCUGGGAUAGUGAGCUUUUUGGAUUCUUCUGUGGGGAACAUGGGUGAAGGGGGUGAGCCUGGAACAGGGAAUCAGUUAGGAGCCUUCUCAAGUUGGCCUGAGGGCUUCCAGGGGUUCUUAUUCUUGCAUUCUUCCCACAGGGAGGGUAUGCAAGGAGCUAAGGACAAGACCAAGAACGGCACUCCCAAGUGCGAUGGUAGACCUUCCCCCUGGCUGAAUUAUUGAUCACCCUGCAUCUGUUUUCUCACAGCUUCUAGAGUAUUCCAUUUCCCACUUGUGUGUUAUUUCCUAAGAGGUGCAUACUGGGUUCAUUUGCUCCUGCUUAGGGAGUGUCUCCUGAGUUGAUCUCUUGGAGAUCAACUAAUUUGAGGACCAACACUGCUGCCACUGGCAGUGGGUACACCUGGAAGUUCCCUAGGUGCUUGGGUGUUCUAGCAAACACAACAGUCCCCACCUAUCUGAAGUUUUGCUUUCCAUGGUUUCAAUGGUGUUCUGAAAAUAUGAAAUGGAUUCUGUGGUCUUAUUACCCUGAACGUGCCCGAUCUUGUCUGAAAAUAUUAAGUGGAAAAUUCCAUAAAGAAAGAUUUAAUAAAUUAUUUAAAACUGAUUACAGAAUGCUGUUGUAAUUGCUGUAUUUUAUGAAUUGUUAUUGUUGCUCUCUUACUGUAUCUGCUUUAUAAGGGAAACUUUAUCAGACAAAUGUAUGCAUAGAAGGAAACAGGGAGAGCUGGUAUUAUUUGAAGUUUGAGGCAUCCACUGGAGUCUUGGCAUGUAUCCCUUCUGGAUAAAAGGAAACUAUUGUGCAACACUUGCUUAGUUAUUUAUUCCUUAUUACUUAUUUGUUCUUCUCUCCCCAUCCAGUUUCCUUCUCCUGAAGAUCUCCAUUAAGAAAGCUGCAAGUUUUAGGGGAAUAAUAUCUGUGAUGUCUGGCCACUGAUUCUCAAGGUUAGUUUCAAAUGAGCACCGAGAAAGACGUGAGACAUCCUUGGAUCUUUGCAGUGCCUGCUGCCCAUGAAAAUGUUCUUCAGGUGCAAAAGGACACGUAGGCUCUGUCACAAAUCUUGCCUCCAGUCUCCUCACCCUCCCAUGUUUCAUGGUUCCCCCUAACACUCCUGAUUCUGAUAUUUUGCUUCAAUGUUCAUUUCCCAUCUGUCUCCUAUUACUAGAAGGAAAGCCCCCAGAGAAUAUCAGUUUUCUCUAUUUGCUUUCUGUUAUAGACUGUGCCUGGCACAUAGUAGGCCCUCAAUUAAUAUUUGUUGAAUAAAUGAAUGGAUGAAACUGCUGCGUGCAUUUAGUCCU